rnacentral:lncRNA from 1 species
CUCAUAAUCAAUGUCUCUGUGAGGAAAAAUAUCAAAGAUUUCUUAAGGAUCCUUCAGCAGUUCAUCUCUCCAAAGGAGAUACUUCUGUUCUGCACUGGCACUGUCUCAUUGUCACUCAUCUACUGCUUUAUCCACAGCAACAUGCCAAACAGGGAAUCUCAUGGGGAAGGAGAAGGCAGAAAGGCAGCUCAUUUCCAAGAAUCCUAUGACAAUUGUUUCUCACUGCUUCCAGAAACUUCGAACAGCCAAUUUCACAGCAUUGUUUUUUUUUUUGUUGUUGUUGCUGUUUAAAUACAGUGCACUCACCCACAGAAACAUUCAUUUCAUCACUCCACUCAUCUAUCCAUGAAAUAUUUGAGCAACUACCAGGCACUAUGUUAGAAGCUAGAAGUACAAAGAAGAAUUUGAUACAAGAUUGUAACUACCAAUGAGAACAAGGCAUUAGUUCACUGCUGUAUUCUCAGCAUCUAGACCCAUGCCUGGAACAUGGUAGGUGUUCUGUCACUGCAAUGUUGAAUAAAUAAAUGAAUGCAUGGUCCUGGCUUCAAGAAUUCACAACUUAGAAAGAGAAACAGAUUUAUGAACAUCAUCAAAUGUAUCCGAGUGAAGUGAUAGUAAUAUGAAGAGAAUAUUAGGAAAGCCAGAAACUAAAUAUGAAUCAAGGAAAAAUAUUGCAAGAUCCCUACUGUAAACCUUCUUUCUUAUUAAUUUUAAAGAAAAUUGCAUCAAAAACAAAGGGCUGACAGUUGCAGUUCCAUGCAUUUCAAAGCUUGAGGAAGGAAGAUGAAAAGGGGAAGAAAACAAAAGGAAAAAUACAGGUAUACAGUAGACAUGAUUUUAUAAGCAAGGAUUUUGAAUCAUUUAUAAAUUGGUUGUUCCACCAUUUCCCAGGCUUAUUGUUUACUAUCAUUACAAGACAAGACGUGAGGCCCAGUCAUGCUACUCCUUUGUGCAUAUCACAUACUCAGAGGGUAGAAAGGAUAUAUGUCCCCUCAUGGAAAGACUCUUCCUAUAAAGUAUUCAAUGCACUUGACAUUAUUCACUCUUCAAUCUUAACCUGAAUCUUAUUAUGUGGGGUCUGUUAUUUCCAUUCUACUAAUGAGGAAUCUGAGGCGAAGAGAGACAGCGACUUUCCUAAAGUCACACAGCUAGUAAAGGGUAUAACCAGGAAGGCUUGUUACAGAGAUGAGUGAGCCAGGCAUGGUGGUAAAUCCUGGAGACAAAAUGGCAAAUAAAGUGGAUCUGAUUCCUGUUUUCCUAGAGCCUCUCACCUGGACUCAACUGAAAUUGAAUUUUGAGGAGCAUAGAUCAAUGGAACAGAAGAGAGAACCGAGAAAUAAGGCCACACACCUAAGACCAUCUGAUCUUGGACAAAGCUGACAAAAAUAAGUAAUGGGGAAAAGACUCCCUAUCCAGUAGAUGGUGCUGGGAUAACUGACUAGCCAUAUGCAGAAGAUUGAGGCUAGACCCCUUCCCCACACCAUAUACAGAAAUCAACUCUAGAUGCUUAAACACUUAAAUGUGAAACCCAAAACUAUAAAAACCCUAGAAGACAACAUAGGCAAUACCAUUUUGGACAUAAGAACAGGCAAAGAUUGCACGGCAAAGAUAAAAAAGGUAAUUGCAACAAAAGCAAAAAUUGACAAAUGGGAUCUAAUUAAACUAAAGAGCAUCUAUACAGCAAAGGAAACUAUCAACAGAGUAAAGAGACAACCUACAGAAUGGAGGAAAAUGUUUGCAAACUGUGAAUUUGACAAAGGUCUAAUUUCCAGCAUCCAUAAGGAACUUGAACAAAUUUCAUGGACUAUUUUAAAAAGUGUGUCAUUAAUAUAAAACUAUUUAUAUUAGCAGUAUUUAAUCAUUAACACCUGUAAAGAAAAAGAAAAAUAGAAGGUAAAUGUUCUUACUGAGAUAGCAGAGCUUUAAGAUUCAUUUUCAUUUUAAGUUUUAUUUUUCCAGUGUAUUAACAUUCAGAGGUCUGUUAUACUAACAUUAAUUAUUAAUGUUUUCAUUUCCAUAAUAGUUAAGAGCUUUUUCAAGCACUCAUGUCUGUAAAAAAUAUUUUAAAGUUUUUUUUUGUCGUAGCAGGAAAAAAAUAGAAAAAUAUAGUUUGUUCUUUUUAAUUGCUGAGUAGUAUUCCAUGGUAAGAUGUACCAUAGUUUCCUUGACCGUUCAAACAUUGAAGGACAUUUGGACUGUUUCCAGUUUCUGGCUAUUAUAAAUAAAGCUAUGAACAUUCG